UUUCUUUCUUCUUUUCUCUAUACGUUGGUGUUCUACCCAAUAAUCACCGAUGCGAUGCUCUGUCCGAUCGAUUCAUGAACCAUCCAACGAAUACCGAAGUGCUGUGAAUUUCGUUAAACGGAUGCCAAAGUAUUAUACUUUGAGAGUUCGUUAAAUGGAUGCCAAAGUACUAUACUUUGUGAUUUCGGUAAACGGAAUCCAAAAUGUUACACUUUGUGAAAUUCGUUAAGGUUCGAAUCUCGUGACUACCGUUAAGGUUUGAUUUGGGUUUUACACAAAUACGUAUUCCAUUCUGUUAAACUAUAUGUUUAACUACCAAAAAAAUACCCCCAACUACACACUCACAAUCAAACAAACUAUUAAAUCAUCAGAAGAUCCAGAAUAAUAAAGUGCAUGCUUAAUUAUCGGAAGAAGUAGAAUCAAGAAGCUUGUUAACUCAAUCUUGCAUGCUUAUAAAGUGAGUCAUUCUCUUUUUAUCAACUAUUUUACAAAACUCCAAAUUAUUUUCAAAAUUAUAAUUACAGGGAUUAAGUCUUUGUAAUCACCAUAUUACAGCCGGUAUGUGGGGUUUUGUAUACAUUACUUGAUAACCGUCACUAUUGGACAACGAGUUAGCCAAUGAGUGAUAUGACCAUAGUCACAGACACCAUCGGGCAAAGAGGCUACCGAUGGAUGUUCGAGUGACAAGUACUGUGGGUAGUUGGUUUGAUAUCAGAAACAUUGUAAUCGCUCUAAUACUGUAAAUUAUAACAAAGUUGUAAUUGCAGUGAUUGAGUCUUUGCCAAUCUUAAAGAAGCAAAUGUAAAAACUCUCAAUGCUGUAAAUUAUAACACAUCUGUUUUUAUAAAACUUGAAUGAACUCACUCAGUAUUUCCCGCUGACAAAACCUUUUUAAAACACGUUUCAGGUAAUUACAGUAGAUUGGCGUAAGGAUUGGAUCCGGCACUGAAAGGACUUCAAGAAGUGGCUUAUUUUAUUAAUUAAAUCAAAUUAAGAAUUAUUGUUUUUAUUAAAAGCUACCUUUGUAAAACAUGGAAUUUAUUCCAUCUAUUUAAAUAAAAUCCGGUGUUUCUAAACUCUGAUAUUUUCCUAACUCACGGUCCUGAUGAAAUUUCCGCUGCAAUGUUUUUCAAAAUAACGACCGGUACCACUGGACUGCUCACGGCACCGAUUCCGGCCAGAUGGGGUCGGGGGACGUGACAGUAGAAUAGGGAAUAACCUUCCGAGGUUAUACCUUAUGGUCACCAAGUUUAGGUAGUUGUAUGAUAACUAGUUUAUAUGCCUUAGGUAAAUUACCAAAAUACCCUUUUCAUGCAUAAUUGGUAAUUAAGCAUAUGUAACCCAAACUUUUGUCACAUAGCUGAUUAUGCAACUUAUUUAAACAUGUUUUGGCAUAUAAUACUUGUCAUAGGACUAGUUAGCGUCUCCAAUGCGAAUUGCGCGCACGACGCGUUAAAGUAGUGUAAGCUACCUUAAUGAGUCACAAUGGGUCGAAAGCACUUAGGUUAAGUUUCAAUUUAGGAUGUAGGCUUUGUUAAACCAUAUCACAUGAGUUCCAACACUCAUUUGGUUUACAAGACCUCAUUCUGUCCGAUCGUCCGCUUUAGGCGUCUAUUGUGCUACUUGAUUUAUCUGGGUUACUUGAGUUUGCUUGAGUCCUAUUGAUUGAGGAUACUUUGCACUUCAUGUGAGUACAUAGUUCCCCUCUUUUACUGUUUUCAACUGUUUUGGGGUGAUUCAUAUGUACGAAAUGGUUUUCAAAGUUUAAACGAUGGUUUUUCAAAAACAAUUAAGAUGGUUUAUACAAAACUAAUAACGAUUUCAAUAAAGUGAACAAAACUUAUUGGUUGUAAUUACAUAACAAAUGACAUUCAUUAAUUUUGGCCGAACCGACCAGUAUUAGGUUAUGGUACCAUAGGAUCUGACAAAUCCCGUUAUUUUACUGCACCCAUGGUUAUGUGUGGGGGUUGUGGGUAACGACUGAAUCUGAUGUUGGUUAACUUACCCUUUGGUGGUUUGUUAACUCGAGAAGCGAGAAGCGAGGUGGUCUAGUCACAAAGGUUUGAAUGUUGUUAGCGGGACGACCAUAUAUAAGUUUCACAAUUAAAACGAGGAUGAUUUAAACGAUCUUAAACGAGUUAACGAUUUUUGAAACGAUUUGAACAAGUUAAACAAAUUGGAUAAACGAUUGGUUUUUGGUUAGUGAUUAGAUAACGGGAUGGGUGUAAUGUGAUGAAAGCAUGGUGGAUACGCCGCUGGUACUUCCUAUAUAUAAGUGUUUUCAUCUUAUUACAUAUCGUGGCGUUAUUUAGUUCACUUGGGUAAACGAUUUUGAAAUGAUGUCACACAAACGAUGUUUUCUAAAAGAUAUAAACCAUACGAGUUUUAACGAGUUUUACAAGAUAUUUUACAAGUUGGUUUUCUAAAACCAAUGUUUUUGGGGUUCAGAAUCAUGGCUACGAGAUUUUAUAAACUAUAACCAUCUUGAUUUGAGUUGGUUAAUUAUGUUGCAAUACAUUUUUCAAAAACAAGGUUUGUAUUUUGACUCUUGAAGUCUACUAAAGUAAUGAAACAUGUAAACGAAGCCAUAAUUCCGAUACCCUUAUAAAACCUAUGUACUCGCCAGCAUUUCUUUUCUGACUUUGUUUUUACAUAUGUUUCAGGUGUUGUUACUUGAAGUGAUUUCUAGGAUGCAUGCGUCACAUAGAAUCUGGACAAGGCCUUAGUGACAUAAUAACAAUGAUAGUCGAUAUUUAACUUGUUUUUUUUUUUUUUUUUGUUGUGUCAAGACAAUGUAAUGUUUAAUAUUAUCAAUAAAACGAAACUAUUU
rnacentral:lncRNA from 1 species